rnacentral:rRNA from 1 species
UACACUCCUACGGGAGGCAGCAGUGGGGAAUUUUGGACAAUGGGCGAAAGCCUGAUCCAGCAAUGCCGCGUGUGUGAAGAAGGCCUUCGGGUUGUAAAGCACUUUUGUCCGGAAAGAAAUCCUUGGCUCUAAUACAGUCGGGGGAUGACGGUACCGGAAGAAUAAGCACCGGCUAACUACGUGCCAGCAGCCGCGGUAAUACGUAGGGUACGAGCGUUAAUCGGAAUUACUGGGCGUAAAGCGUGCGCAGGCGGUUUGCUAAGACCGAUGUGAAAUCCCCGGGCUCAACCUGGGAACUGCAUUGGUGACUGGCAGGCUAGAGUAUGGCAGAGGGGGGUAGAAUUCCACGUGUAGCAGUGAAAUGCGUAGAGAUGUGGAGGAAUACCAAUGGCGAAGGCAGCCCCCUGGGCCAAUACUGACGCUCAUGCACGAAAGCGUGGGGAGCAAACAGGAUUAGAAACCCUUGUAGUCCC